rnacentral:lncRNA from 12 species
GGGGGGCGGAGCAUUCUCUAGAAGCUUGGAUGUGAGCAGUGCCGGGCCAGUCUUGGGGAGGAGCUGCGUUACGGACAGACUUGGAGGCUUCCGCCGAAGAGAAGAAGCUUGGAGGUAAUGGCUGUCGUAAAAGCUAGUUAUUUUCGGAGAUUUCUGGAAACUUUCGAGUAAAGAUAUUUAAAUAGACACCACAUUCACUCCAUUGUCUUUACCUGGAGGUGGAUCUGAGAAGGCUGGUUAUCUGGUUGCUUGGGGUUUUCUUGCAAUUCUGAUAUUUAGACUAUUGUCCAGAUGGUGGUUCAAGCAGAAGGUUGAUAUCAGAGAUGCACAUGACCUGAAGGAUCUGCAUGUGAUGCCAGUUGAGCCCCAGAAAGGCAGUGCGACCUCAGAAUUGCUGAGCAGAAAAAAGACUGCUGGAGAAGUAGCUGGAGUGAGAAUCAAGACAACCAGAUCACAGGACUGGACCUUCCAUAAUCCACGUGAUACUGGUGAAUUUCAGUUAACUUGGCGAUUCUCCUCCCUCUAA